rnacentral:rRNA from 1 species
CCUACGGGAGGCAGCAGUAGGGAAUCUUCCACAAUGGGCGAAAGCCUGAUGGUGCAACGCCGCGUGGGUGAAGAAGGUCUUCGGAUCGUAAAACCCUGUUGUUAGAGAAGCAAGUGCGUGAGAGUAACUGUUCACGUUUCGACGGUAUCUAACCAGAAAGCCACGGCUAACUACGUGCCAGCAGCCGCGGUAAUACGUAGGUUGCAAGCGUUAUCCGGAUUGAUUGGGCGUAAAGGGAACGCAGGCGGUCUUUUAAGUCUGAUUUGAAAGCCUUCGGCUUAACCGGAGUAGUGCAUUGGAAACUGGGAGACUAGAGUGCAGGAGAGGAGAGUGGAACUCCAUGUGUAGCGGUGAAAUGCGUAGAUAUAUGGAAGAACACCAGUGGCGAAAGCGGCUCUCUGGUCUGUAACUGACGCUGAGGUUCGAAAGCGUGGGUAGCAAACAGGAUUAGAUACCCCUGUAGUC